rnacentral:rRNA from 1 species
AGAGUUUGAUCAUGGCUCAGAACGAACGCUGGCGGCGCGCCUAAUACAUGCAAGUCGAACGAGAAUGUGUAGCAAUACACAUGUACAGUGGCGAACGGGUGAGGAAUACAUGGGUAACCUACCCUCGAGUGGGGAAUAACUAGCCGAAAGGUUAGCUAAUACCGCGUACGCUUCCGGGACUGCGGUUUCGGAAGGAAAGCGAUACCGUGGGUAUCGCGCUCUUGGAUGGGCUCAUGCCCUAUCAGCUUGUUGGUGAGGUAACGGCUCACCAAGGCUUCGACGGGUAGCUGAUCUGAGAGGAUGAUCAGCCACACUGGCACUGCGACACGGGCCAGACUCCUACGGGAGGCAGCAGUAAGGAAUAUUGCGCAAUGGGCGAAAGCCUGACGCAGCGACGCCGCGUGGGGGAUGAAGGUCUUCGGAUUGUAAACCCCUUUCGGGAGGGAAGAUGGGAUGGGGUAACCCAUUCGGACGGUACCUCCAGAAGCAGCCACGGCUAACUUCGUGCCAGCAGCCGCGGUAAUACGAAGGUGGCAAGCGUUGUUCGGAUUUACUGGGCGUACAGGGAGCGUAGGCGGUUGGAUAAGCCCUCCGUGAAAUCUCCAGGCUUAACCUGGAAAGUGCAGAGGGGACUGUUCAGCUAGAGGAUGGGAGAGGAGCGCGGAAUUCCCGGUGUAGCGGUGAAAUGCGUAGAGAUCGGGAGGAAGGCCGGUGGCGAAAGGCGGCGCUCUGGAACAUUUCUGACGCUGAGGCUCGAAAGCGUGGGGAGCAAACAGGAUUAGAUACCCUGGUAGUCCACGCCUUAAACGAUGGAUACUAAGUGUCGGCGGGUUACCGCCGGGUGCCGCAGCUAACGCAGUAAGUAUCCCGCCUGGGAAGUACGGCCGCAAGGUUGAAACUCAAAUGAAUUGACGG